ensembl:snRNA U6 U6 spliceosomal RNA
GUGCUGGCUUUGGCAGCAUAUUUACUAAAAUUGGAAAGAUACCGAUUAGCGUGGCCCCUGCACAAGUGUGACAUGCAAAUUUGUAAAGCAUUCUAUAUUUUU